rnacentral:miRNA from 1 species
UCCAUCUCUCUCACACCCUAUUCUUUUUUAUCCUUGAUACAAUCUUUGCCUCUCUUUUUCAUGUUUUUCUACUAGGUGUGUUUGUUUUAUUGACUUUGUAAAAAACAAAAACACCUAGUAGAAAAACAUGAAAAAGAGAGGCAAAGACUGUAUCAAGGAUAAAAAAGAAUAGGGUGUGAGAGAGAUGGA